UGAGGAAUAUUGCGCAAUGGGGGCAACCCUGACGCAGCAACGCCGCGUGAGUGAGGAAGGUUUUCGGAUCGUAAAGCUCUUUCGGCAGGGAAGAUGAUGACGGUACCUGCAGAAGCAGCUGCGGCUAACUACGUGCCAGCAGCCGCGGUAAUACGUAGGCAGCAAGCGUUGUUCGGAGUUACUGGGCGUAAAGGGUGUGUAGGCGGUUCUUUAAGUUUGGUGUGAAAUCUCCCGGCUCAACUGGGAGGGUGCGCCGAAUACUGAGGGACUCGAGUGCGGGAGAGGAAAGUGGAAUUCCUGGUGUAGCGGUGAAAUGCGUAGAUAUCAGGAGGAACACCGGUGGUGUAAACGGCUUUCUGGACCGUAACUGACGCUGAGACACGAAAGCGUGGGUAGCAAACA
rnacentral:rRNA from 1 species